CACACCUCCGAAUAUCAGGCCAUUUCUUCACACGUAUAUCACACAGAUACAGAAUCAGUUGCCUAACUUUAGACACUCAAAUUUUAAUAUCUUAGCUCAAGUGCUGGAUCCAUAAAAGGAUUUGGGGGGGGGUCACAAUGCAGAACACUGCAGUGCCAAAUUUUAGGUGGCUUGUGACCAAGCAGCAUGCACAGGCCUGAGUUAGGUGCUAGUUGCUGCAUACACUGGAUGGGGUGGUGUCUCAGAAUAGAAACCACAGCAACCAGCAUACUGAUUGGGGUAGCUGCUUCAGCGAGCCAAUAGGAAACGUUCAUAAAAUAGGGUCAGGGGCGGGGUAAGUUGUCAUAAGUUCCACCCUUCUCUGGGCACUUCCUGGCUAGCUAUGUUAGCACCAGUUCAAUGCUUCUGAUACGCAGGCUAGCUUGGGUAUGUCUGCACAGCUCAGCAAUGUGCUGCAUGCACAUACCUUGAAUUCCAGGCUGGAGGGAAGCAUUUUACUCCACUGGGGGACUCCAACCCUCAACCCAGGAAUAAGGUGUAUAAGCUAGUCCAGGGGUAGGCAAUGUUUUUUGGCCAGAGUGCCGAAAAAACCACAAUGUCUACCUUGGAAGG